UCGAGCGGAAGGCCCCUUCGGGGGUACUCGAGCGGCGAACGGGUGAGUAACACGUGGGUAACCUGCCCUUGGCUCUGGGAUAACCCCGGGAAACCGAGGCUAAUACCGGAUACGACACGCGGCCGCAUGGUCUGCGUGUGGAAAGGAUUCCGGCCAGGGAUGGACUCGCGGCCUAUCAGCUAGUUGGUGAGGUAAUGGCCCACCAAGGCGACGACGGGUAGCCGGCCUGAGAGGGCGACCGGCCACACUGGGACUGAGACACGGCCCAGACUCCUACGGGAGGCAGCAGUGGGGAAUAUUGCGCAAUGGGCGAAAGCCUGACGCAGCAACGCCGCGUGAGGGAUGACGGCCUUCGGGUUGUAAACCUCUUUCAGCUCCGACGAAGCCUUCGGGUGACUGUAGGAGCAGAAGAAGCACCGGCUAACUACGUGCCAGCAGCCGCGGUAAUACGUAGGGUGCGAGCGUUGUCCGGAAUUAUUGGGCGUAAAGAGCUCGUAGGCGGCCUGUUGCGUCCGCUGUGAAAGCCCGGGGCUUAACCCCGGGUCUGCAGUGGAUACGGGCAGGCUAGAGUUCGGCAGGGAGACUGGAAUUCCUGGUGUAGCGGUGAAAUGCGCAGAUAUCAGGAGGAACACCGGGGGCGAAGGCGGG
rnacentral:rRNA from 1 species